rnacentral:rRNA from 1 species
AACGAACGCUGGCGGCAUGCCUAACACAUGCCAGUCGAACGAGACCUUCGGGUCUAGUGGCGCACGGGUGCGUAACGCGUGGGAACCUGCCCUUAGGUUCGGAAUAACUCCCCGAAAGGGGUGCUAAUACCGGAUAAUGUCUUCGGACCAAAGAUUUAUCGCCUUUGGAUGGGCCCGCGUUGGAUUAGCUAGUUGGUAGGGUAAAAGCCUACCAAGGCGACGAUCCAUAGCUGGUCUGAGAGGAUGAUUAGCCACACUGGGACUGAGACACGGCCCAGACUCCUACGGGAGGCAGCAGUGGGGAAUAUUGGACAAUGGGCGAAAGCCUGAUCCAGCAAUGCCGCGUGAGUGAUGAAGGCCUUAGGGUUGUAAAGCUCUUUUACCCGGGAUGAUAAUGACAGUACCGGGAGAAUAAGCUCCGGCUAACUCCGUG